rnacentral:siRNA from 1 species
AGAAAAUGAAGAGGAGUGGUUGUG